UGGUAACUGCAUGGAAUGCCUUAAUCAC
rnacentral:sRNA from 1 species